rnacentral:rRNA from 1 species
UACAGAGGUCCCAAGCGUUGUUCGGAUUCACUGGGCGUAAAGGGUGCGCAGGUGGUCGGGUAAGUCUGACGUGAAAUCCCGCAGCUUAACUGCGGAAUGGCAUUGGAUACUAUUCGGCUAGAGGGUUGGAGGGGGGACUGGAAUUCUCGGUGUAGCAGUGAAAUGCGUAGAUAUCGAGAGGAACACCAGUGGCGAAGGCGAGUCCCUGGACAACUCCUGACGCUGAGGCACGAAAGCUAGGGAGCAAACAGG